GAACUACAAGUGAAAAACUUGAAACUCAAAGGACUUGACGGUGUCCCAUAUCGCCCUAGAGGAGCCUGUCCUAUAAUCGAUACUCCCCGUUCCACCCAACCUCAACUAGCAUAUCAUCAGCCUAUAUACCGCCGUCGAUCAGCCUACCCUAUGAGGGUCUAAUAGUAGACACAACAGCUCAACCGCUAAUACGUCAGGUCAAGGUGUAGCAAAUGUUGAGGAAGAGAUUGGCUACAUUUUUUAUGAUAAAAAACACGAAAAGCACUAUGAAACUGUGCAUGAAGGUGAAUUUAGUAGUAAAAUAGACAAGUAUGUCUACUUUAACAUCGCUCUGGGACGCGUACACACCGC
rnacentral:rRNA from 1 species